AACGAACGCUGGCGGCAUGCCUAACACAUGCAAGUCGAACGAGACCUUCGGGUCUAGUGGCGCACGGGUGCGUAACGCGUGGGAACCUGCCCUUAGGUUCGGAAUAACUCCCCGAAAGGGGUGCUAAUACCGGAUAAUGUCUUCGGACCAAAGAUUUAUCGCCUUUGGAUGGGCCCGCGUUGGAUUAGCUAGUUGGUAGGGUAAAAGCCUACCAAGGCGACGAUCCAUAGCUGGUCUGAGAGGAUGAGCAGCCACACUGGGACUGAGACGCGGCCCAGACUCCUACGGGAGGCAGCAGUGGGGAAUAUUGGACAAUGGGCGAAAGCCUGAUCCAGCAAUGCCGCGUGAGUGAUGAAGGCCUUAGGGUUGUAAAGCUCUUUUACCCGGGAUGAUAAUGACAGUACCGGGAGAAUAAGCUCCGGCUAACUCCGUG
rnacentral:rRNA from 1 species